UACGGGGGGAGCAGGCGUUGUUCGGAUUUACUGGGCGUAAAGGGCGCGUAGGCGGCGCAACAAGUCACUUGUGAAAUCUCCGGGCUUAACCCGGAGCGGCCAAGUGAUACUGUCGUGCUAGAGUGCGGAAGGGGCUACUGGAAUUCUCGGUGUAGCGGUGAAAUGCGUAGAUAUCGAGAGGAACACCUGCAGCGAAGGCGGGUAGCUGGGCCGACACUGACGCUGAGGCGCGAAAGCCAGGGGAGCGAACGGG
rnacentral:rRNA from 1 species